UGGGGAAUUUUGCGCAAUGGGGGGAAACCCUGACGCAGCAACGCCGCGUGCGGGAUGACGGCCUGGUUGUAACCGCUUUCAGUAGGGAAGGAACAUCGACGGUACC
rnacentral:rRNA from 1 species